rnacentral:lncRNA from 1 species
GGUCUGUUGAUUUUCCUCUAGGGUUCCUAGCCUCUCCUCAACUUGAUCAAACCUAUUGUUCAAUUGUUUGAACUGCUCAGUCAUAGUCCUUAGGAUGGUCUCAAGAUUGGGGUCCAUGGCUUCAAUGGGUUGUGUAUGUGAUGGGUUGUAGGGUGUUCCUGAUCUAGUUGUCAUAUAAGGCUCAAGACAAAACAAAAUGACUAACCUAUGCUAGGGUUUGCUAAAUCUAAAUCAAAGACUUAUCUAAUCAAAAUUGGUUCACC